UACGUAGGGGGCAAGCGUUGUCCGGAUUUAUUGGGCGUAAAGAGCGUGUAGGCGGCCAUACAGGUCCGUUGUGAAAACUGGAGGCUUAACCUCCAGACGUCGAUGGAAACCGUAUGGCUAGAGUCCGGAAGAGGAGAGUGGAAUUCCUGGUGUAGCGGUGAAAUGCGCAGAUAUCAAGGAAGAACGACCCGUGGCGAAGGGCGGCUCUCUGGGACGGUACUGACGCUGAGACGCGAAAGCGUGGGGAGCGAAGCAGG
rnacentral:rRNA from 1 species